rnacentral:ncRNA from 1 species
UAGUGGUUACACAUGCAAGUCGGGAGGGAAGUGGGGUUUUCAGCGGCAACUGCCUUGUAAGCUGAGAAGCAAAAGAAGGAAUCUGCCAGAGAAGAGGCUCGCAUUUCAUUAGCUAAUAUUUGAGGUAAUAGCUUACCAAGAUGAUGAUCGGUAGUUGGUUCUAAAAGAAGCCAAACUAAGACUGAGACACAUCCUAGGCUCCAAUCAGAGGCAGGAGUGGGGAAUUUUCUGCAAUUGAUGAAAACUUUGACGGAACAAUGCUGCAUCGAGGUAGAAGGUUCACGGGUCGUGAACUUCUUUUCCCAGAAAAAAAAAAAGAAAAAAAAAGCAAUGAUGGUAUCUAGAAAAUAAUCAUCCACAAACUCUAUGCCAAUUGUUCCAAUCCCGUGUUUGAUA